CCUACGGGAGGCAGCAGCAAGGGAUAUUGCGCAAUGGGCGAAAGCCUGACGCAGCGACGCCGCGUGAGGGACGAAGGCCUUCGGGUCGUAAACCUCUUUUCUUGGUGAAGAGUAAGGACGGUAAUCAAGGAAUAAGCCCCGGCUAACUACGUGCGCAUCCAGCCGCGGUAAUACGUAAGGGGCGAGCGUUAUCCGGAUUCACUGGGCGUAAAGAGCGUGUAGGCGGCUUCCAAAGUUGGUAGUGAAAGGUCCUGGCUUAACUGGGAUAUGCCUGCCAAUACUGGGGAGCUAGAGGGCAGCAGAGGAAAGUGGAACUCGCGGUGUAGCGGUGAAAUGUGUAGAUAUCGCGAGGAACACCAGUGGUGAAGGCGGCUUUGUGGGCUGUUCCUGACGCUGAGACGCGAAAGCGUGGGGAGUGAAGCGGAUUAGAUACCCGCGUAAUCCACGCCUUAAUCGGUGGAUACUAGGUAUGGGGGGUAUCGACCCUCUCCGUGCCGAAGCUAACGCCUUAAGUAUCCCGCCUGGGGACUACGUCCGCAAGGCUAAAACUCAAAGGAAUUGACGG
rnacentral:rRNA from 1 species